UGCGGCGUGCCUAACACACGCAAGUCGAACGCCCUUAGCAAUAAGGGAGUGGCGGACGGGUGAGUAACACGUGGGUACCUGCCCCGAGGUGAGGAAUACCGGCGAGAAAUCGCCGACAAUACCGCAUAUGUUUGCUCUGCAAACAAAGCUCGCAAGGGCGCCUUGGGAAGGGCCUGUGGCCGAUUAGCUUGUUGGUAAGGUAAUGGCUUACCAAGGCGACGAUCGGUAGCUGGUCUGAGAGGAUGGUCAGCCACACUGGGAUUGAGAACGGCCCAGACUCCUACGGGGGGCAGCAGUGAGGAAUUUUCGUCAAUGGGGGCAACCCUGAACGAGCAACGCCGCGUGCAGGAGGACGCUUUUCGGAGUGUAAACUGCUUUUCUGAGGGACGAGAACGGACGGUACCUCAGGAACAAGCCCCGGCUAACUACGUGCCAGCAGCCGCGGUAAUACGUAGGGGGCGAGCGUUGUCCGGAGUUACUGGGCGUAAAGCGCACGCAGGCGGUUUCGCGCGUCUGGAGUGACAGUUCCCGGCUCAACUGGGAAAGGUCUUUGGAAACGGCGAGACUUGAGGGCUUCAGAGGGACACGGAAUUCCGGGUGGAGUGGUGAAAUGCGUAGAGAUCCCGGAGGAACACCAAUGGCGAAGGCAGUGUCCUGGGAAGCAUCUGACGCUUCAGGUGCCAAAAGCUA
rnacentral:rRNA from 1 species